CGUCUAGCUCAAAGUUGCAUCCUAGGGCCUAGCACAGCACUUGGCACAUAGUAGGUGCUCAGCUAAUACUUGUUGAAUAAAUGAGUGGGAACCCUGUAUCAGUUUUGUGAACCCAGGCAUGUUUAAUUAUGUAAGACUCAGUCUAAUCACAAACAAAGUAGGGACAUUAACACCUGCCCUAACUUUAUUACAGAUUGUUGUCAGAAAUUGCUUUUUAACCAUGUACAAAUGUAAGUCAUUAUAAUUAGACUUCCUCUGUAAAAGAAGCACACUGCUUUAUGAAUACCAUAAAAAUGCAGCAGAUGUCAGAAGAGAAAAAUUAUCCAAUACGGGAUGAUAAAUCCUUGAUGAGCCAGAGUGCUCAGAGAACAAGGUGUUCUAGCUAACUGAAUUUCUGUUUAAGUAGGAAGUAAACAGAAAGUCAUUUGUUUCAAUCCACAGUGAUAUUCCAAUUCCUUGUGCUAGGAAGAACAAACUGAUCAUAGUACCCCAUGAACAAUGAAGGCUACUGCUGCAUCUUUUGGCCAUUGUUCUUAACAUCAUUUCUUCUAUGCUAUAAAAAUCGCUGAAUGAGGACAAAGUGGAGACAUGUUUCUGCCAUCCUGUGGACAGGCUUAGGUAUAAUGUUUUUGAGUAUUAAAAACACAAAGUGUUGAGGAGGGUGGGACUAGGCAGGGCAGAAUCAUCUGAUUGUAAGGUGGCUCUUAUAUGAUAUUAGGACAGUCCAAUACUCAAACUCCAAAGAGCAUCAUUGCUGUUCUGUUUUGUUUUUCAGUCAGCAAACAUUUAUUAUGUACCCACUAUAUGUGAGGCAAUGGGCUAGGUUCUGGGUUUACAACUAUGAAAUUGGCCCGGGCGCAGUGGCUCACACCUGUCAUCCCAGCACUCUGGGAGGCCGAGGCAGGUGGAUUCCCUGAGGUCAGGAGUUAGAGACCAGCCUGGCCAACAUGAUAAAACCCCAUCUCUACUAAAAAUACAAAAAUUAGCUGGGGGUGGUGGCACGUGCCUGUAAUCCCAGCUACUCAAGAGGCUGAGGCAGGAGAAUUGCUUGAACCCAGGAGGCAGAUGUUGCAGUGAGCUGAGUUCAUGCCACUCACUCCAGUCUGGGUGACAGAGCAAGACUCUGUCUCAAAACGACAACAACAACAAAACAAAAAACAAAAUAAAACUAUGAAAAUGACAUGGUCCCUACACUCUACAAAUCAACACAAUGCCAAGGGAAAUUUUUGUUGUCUUAUUGCUCUAAGAUCUAAGAGAGGUUUUUUCGUCAUCUUAUUGUGCUGUGGUUAGUGAGAUGGUAGGGCUGAUCACAGGAUGCCAGAUAAGCAUGGAAAUAUGUUCAGCUGGCCUCCUGGCAGGGAAGAGGGGACACACCUGUCAGGUGUGGCCCACCUCUCAGGAGAUGAUGAUACUCAGGUGGGCCAGGGUGUGGUGCUGGGUGACUGGCUGGGUUUAGAGCCAGUUGCUCUGGGUUUUGGAGGACUCUAAGCCCAAGAGGUAGUAGAGUCACGGGCAGGGAAGCCAAGGCGCACACAGCAAUCUCUAGAUUAGGCUGGGGGCAUGGAGAUCAGAUCUGGCCAGACACAUGAUGCCUGGGCCAUCAGAUACCAGGACCCCUCAACUCCACUUAACAUCAUGUUUAUUCAUUCA
rnacentral:lncRNA from 10 species